rnacentral:rRNA from 1 species
AUUGAACGCUGGCGGCAGGCCUAACACAUGCAAGUCGAGCGGAUGAGAGGAGCUUGCUCCUGGAUUCAGCGGCGGACGGGUGAGUAAUGCCUAGGAAUCUGCCUGGUAGUGGGGGACAACGUUUCGAAAGGAACGCUAAUACCGCAUACGUCCUACGGGAGAAAGCAGGGGACCUUCGGGCCUUGCGCUAUCAGAUGAGCCUAGGUCGGAUUAGCUAGUUGGUGAGGUAAUGGCUCACCAAGGCGACGAUCCGUAACUGGUCUGAGAGGAUGAUCAGUCACACUGGAACUGAGACACGGUCCAGACUCCUACGGGAGGCAGCAGUGGGGAAUAUUGGACAAUGGGCGAAAGCCUGAUCCAGCCAUGCCGCGUGUGUGAAGAAGGUCUUCGGAUUGUAAAGCACUUUAAGUUGGGAGGAAGGGCAGUAACUUAAUACGUUGCUGUUUGACGUA